rnacentral:misc_RNA from 1 species
GUCUUGUGAUGCAUCAUACUCCUCCUUGCAAGUUCUAAGGGAAAGGCUUCCACCUCGACGAAUCAAAUCGGUAUCUGUAUCUGAUAUCCCACGGCUAUCAAAAGAGGGUCUCCUCCUAGAAGCAGUUUGUAUUCCAGAAGGUGUUAGAUCAGCAUCAAUACUUUCAACUUCUUGUUUGAUAUUCUCCAUAAAAAGUGCACCAUUCAAUCUGUUUUCGCUGAUCCUAGCAGCGGAUCUUUCCCGAUGAGGAGAUAAGCUUGAGCCUGAACUCCUUUUCCCGUAUCGACGAAAUCUCUCUCUUGUGCUUAGAUUUUCCGGGUCGAAAUAGCUAGGAGAUGUGCCAUCGUCAAUCUCCAUCUUCAGAGUAUCAAAGUUUUGACGGCACCGGAAGGCGAAAGGUA